rnacentral:rRNA from 1 species
UACGGAAGGCAGCAGUGGGGAAUAUUGCACAAUGGGCGCAAGCCUGAUGCAGCCAUGCCGCGUGUAUGAAGAAGGCCUUCGGGUUGUAAAGUACUUUCAGCGGGGAGGAAGGCGGUGAAGUUAAUAGCUUCACCGAUUGACGUUACCCGCAGAAGAAGCACCGGCUAACUCCGUGCCAGCAGCCGCGGUAAUACGGAGGGUGCAAGCGUUAAUCGGAAUUACUGGGCGUAAAAGCGCACGCAGGCGGUCUGUCAAGUCGGAUGUGAAAUCCCCGGGCUUAACCUGGGAACUGCAUUCGAAACUGGCAGGCUAGAGUCUUGUAGAGGGGGUAGAAAUUCCAGGUGUAGCGGUGAAAUGCGUAGAGAUCUGGAGGGAAUACCGGUGGCGAAGGCGGGCCCCCUGGGACAAAGACUGACGCUCAGGUGCGAAAGCGUGGGGAGCAAACAGGAUUAGAUACC